UACGGGGGGAGCAAGCGUUGUUCGGAUUUACUGGGCGUAAAGGGCGCGUAGGCGGCGCAACAAGUCACUUGUGAAAUCUCCGGGCUUAACCCGGAGCGGCCAAGUGAUACUGUCGUGCUAGAGUGCGGAAGGGGCUACUGGAAUUCUCGGUGUAGCGGUGAAAUGCGUAGAUAUACGGAGGAACACCUGCGGCGAAGGCGGGUAGCUGGGCCAACACUGACGCUGAGACGCGAAAGCUAGGGGAGCAAACGGG
rnacentral:rRNA from 1 species